rnacentral:tRNA from 1 species
GCCCAGAUGGCGAAAUUGGCAGACGCACUAGCUUCAGGUGCUAGCGGGAGCAAUCUCAUGAGGGUUCAAGUCCCUCUCUGGGCACAA